rnacentral:rRNA from 1 species
GACGUAGGGCGCGAGCGUUGUCCGGAUUUAUUGGGCGUAAAGAGCUCGUAGGCGGCUUGUUGCGUCGACCGUGAAAACCCGGGGCUCAACUUCGGGCUUGCGGUCGAUACGGGCGGGCUAGAGUUCGGUAGGGGAGACUGGAAUUCCUGGUGUAGCGGUGAAAUGCGCAGAUAUCAGGAGGAACACCGGUGGCGAAGGCGGGUCUCUGGGCCGAUACUGACGCUGAGGAGCGAAAGCGUUGGGAGCGAACAGG